AUCAGCAGCAGCAGCCAAACGUAAACAAACCAAGCCUGACACUCGUGCUGGACGCCGCCCACGGGACCCCGCCACCCAGCGCCCUUUCCCUCCCACUGGUGACGUGCCCUCCAGGCUGCUGGCCCAUCACUGCCCCUGAAGUCAUCAGUGGAUGGCAGACAUGAGUGAAGCAGUCCUCUGGCCGCCACAGCAGGUUGGAGACCUGUAACACUGACACUGCUCCAGUGGAACCAAACUUGAAUGGUGCCAGGGAGACCAACGCUGUGUGAGUGUCCCAGUGGCUUACUGUGCUGCGCCAAGGUGUUGACAAGUAACGUGGAGGUUGAGCCGCUGGACCCACCACCCAUCGGCAAGUGUUCCAGGAGGCAAGAAGGAGUGACUCUACACCAUGGAACUUUGACAGACCUCCUCCUCCUGCCUUCAAGUCUGGCCAAAAGGGUGUAUUGUCCUUUUCCACGCCAUGUCGCCGCCACUCCUCACUCCACGCUGAGCCUGACACGGUGACGCUGCGUACAGCUUGUUGGAGGCAAAGCACUACAUCAUACAAGGACAUUGAGGAGGAGUAGGAAGAAGAAGGAGAGGAGGAGGAGGAGGAGGAUAAAUAAUUAGUGAGAAAAAAAUAUCAAUGAAAAAUAAGAGAAAAUGAGAGAAAAUGAAAGAUAGUGAUGAAAAAGACUGAAUUAAAUAUUUACUACAUAGUACUACUGAAAAAAAGAAAGAGAGAGAGAAAGUGAGAUACAGAAUAAAGUGAGAAAGUGACUGGAUUACUACUGCUUCUGCUACUACUACUGCUACAUCUGGUUAUGGGCUCCACACCACCGCCAGUCUACCGGCUCCACCGAAGGACUGCUACCAGGUUCUCGGGUGCCCAGAAGCGCCUUGGAGAAGAUGAAGAAGGCGUACUAGUACCAGGGAGUGGCUGGAGGACGGCUGACCCACAAGGCUGACCUACAAGGCUGACCUACAAGAGGCUUGCUUGGAUUUAAACCAAUUGAAAUCAGAGGAAAAAAAUCAUGAUCAUGACGAUGAUAGAAAAAUUAUCACCAAAAUGCCGUGGUUUACUAGCGCUGACUUGGUGGACGAGCAUCCUGUUUUUUUUUAUAUAUAUUAUUUUUAGUUUAUUUAUUUAUUUAUUUUUUUUAUUUGUGGCCUCACCCGGGUGGGGACACAGGCUCUAUGGAGGCCGUCAGGGUCAAGCGCGUACGUCCCUUCAAGGAGGGAGCACAAACCCUUGCUGGCCCGUGAUGGGGAAGGGAGGAUGCCGAUAGACUGACUCUACCAGCUUACAUCAGCCUAACCGAUCAGUCUGUCUGUCAAGGAGGACUGGUGUGUCUCUGGAAGGCGUGAGCGUGGGUUCCCUUUGUUGGGUGCAGGACCAGAGUGCUCGGAGCAGAAAACAAUGGGAAGAGAGCCUCAGUGCGGCCACCUUGAUCUAAAGAAAAAACACAACCUUCAGUACAGAACCAAUAUGUUAAGGAAUGGCUGGAAAAAAAAAAGGCAUCGUUUCAAUUUUUUUGUUCCUAACGAUGGCGCUGAUGUUUUCAUGCCGGGAAGUUCUUGCCUAUCCUGCAGUGAUGCGUUAAAAUGGUCUGGGGCGCAACACUGACACAACAGUGACACAACAGCAAGGCAUUUCCCAGUGAACCACAAAACCAGUACAUAAACAUUAUGUUUGUCAAGGGUCGUCCUGCAGUACAUGUACAAUACGCGUCGUAACGUCCCCCCCUCCCUCCUGCCUUCACCAGCAGGGACCGUCAGUCACGCCGGACCAGAGACAUUUUAGGGUUGCCAGCUGUUCCUUAAAAUAUGUAUUGGUUCUGUAGUGGAGGUUGUGUUCCUUACUUUUCUUAGCUCAAGGUGGCUGCCCUGAGGCUCUCUUUCCACUGUCUUUCACUCAGCACUCUCGUCCUGCGGCGAACACAGGGAACCCGCGCUCACUUGUACACAGAGACGCGCCAGUCCUGUCCAAAGACUGACUUGGUCGGCCAGGCGGUCGUCAGCCGAUGGUCGGUCUAUCGGCAUCCUCCCCUCCCUGCCAUGAGCCGUCACCGGCAAGGGUCUGUGGCCGCUCGUAAACCACGGCAUUUUUUGAGAUUUUUUGUUGCUCAUGAAUCAAAUCAUGUGUAAAGUAAGGCACUGGUAAGGCCAGGUAUGACUGUGUCACCCAGCCCUGGGGGGGGGUUUAGCAUGGGGUAAUUACAGCUAACAGUUGUUUUUAUUAUACGCCAGAAUCUCAAUCUCUCUCCUCCUGAGACUUGCCUCCAUUAUUUCCUUGCCUUACCUUGAAGUCCCUUUCUCCCAUCCUUCUUUCAUUUCCAUCUCUCUCUCUCUCUCUCUCUCUCUCUCUCUCUCUCUCUCUCUCUCUCUCUCUCUCUCUCUCUCUCUCUCUCUCU